GCCACACUGACAGAUGACUCAGUAAGCUUUCGUAACUGUGCACGGACCCGUCAUCUGAUUCAUCAGAAAAAUGUGCAUCUAACAGCUUUGUAGCAGUUCAUGGAUUAUGAAGGCAAGUUGGAAGUUACUCUGGAGCAACAGGGUGGCUCACUGGUUAGCACUGCUGCCUCACACCUCUUCAGCAGGCUUCGAGUCUAAUCCCUUGGUCUACAUGUGUGGAAUUGCGCUUAGAAUCCGAUGCCGAUCCGUAGCUUGCGAACCGGACGCCGGUCUCACACACGAGUGGGCUUUUGCUCCGUAUCCUUGUCAUAAAGCAUCGAGGCUAUUUUGAAAUAUUUUCCUAGCGCUUUGCUUAAUGGAUUUCCCCCUUGUCGCUCCCUUUCUUAAGAGUGCUCCGGGGAGCCCUGCUCUUUGCCGGCUUGUUUUUUCACCUGCCCGCGAUAGAGAGGCUGAUUUACGCCGACUUCAGGGUAAAAUCCCCUCCGUGGCUUCACUGAUCUGCUGUUACAGUCCACAUGUGUCAUUUUCAUCAUCAGCCCCUCACCUCUUUGGGGAGAAGAGGUUGCAGCAGCUGCAGACUCCAGUUUCGCUGAGUACCCUUACUGGACGGGCUGCUUUGGACUCAGCUGCUCUCCCG